GACGAACGCUGGCGGCGUGCUUAACACAUGCAAGUCGAACGAUGAAGCACCAGCUUGCUGGUGUGGAUGAGUGGCGAACGGGUGAGUAAUACGUGAGUAACCUGCCCUUGACUCUGGGAUAAGCCCGGGCAACUGGGUCUAAUACUGGAUGCUACAUGUCACCGCAUGGUGGUGUGUGGAAAGGGUAUACUGGUCUUGGAUUGGCUCACGGCCUAUCAGCUUGUUGGUGAGGUAAUGGCUCAGCAAGGCGACGACGGGGAGCCGGCCCGAGAGGGUGACCGUCCACACCGAGACUGAGACACGGCCCCGACCCCGACUGGAGGCAGCGGUGGCGAAGAUUGCUCAAGGGGCGAGAGCCUGAGGCAGCGACGCCGCGGGAGGGAUGACGGUCUUCGGGUUGUAGUCCUCAAUCAGCAGUGAAGAAGCCACUAGUGACGGUACCUGCAGAAGAAGCGCCGGCUAACUACGUG
rnacentral:rRNA from 1 species